rnacentral:rRNA from 1 species
CCUACGGGUGGCAGCAGUCGAGAAUCAUUCACAAUGGGGGAAACCCUGAUGGUGCGACGCCGCGUGGGGGAAUGAAGGUCUUCGGAUUGUAAACCCCUGUCAUGUGGGAGCAAAUUAAAAAGAUAGUACCACAAGAGGAAGAGACGGCUAACUCUGUGCCAGCAGCCGCGGUAAUACAGAGGUCUCAAGCGUUGUUCGGAAUCACUGGGCGUAAAGCGUGCGUAGGCUGUUUCGUAAGUCGUGUGUGAAAGGCGCGGGCUCAACCCUCGGACGGCAGAUGAUACUGCGAGACUAGAGUAAGGGAGGGGGAACCGGAAUUCUCGGUGUAGCAGUGAAAUGCGUAGAUAUCGAGAGGAACCCUCGUGGCGAAGGCGGGUUCCUGGACAUUAACUGACGCUGAGGCACGAAGGCCAGGGGAGCGAAAGGGAUUAGAUACCCGGGUAGUC